GACCGCCACCGGUUAUUCCACAAUAAGAGUUAGAGUUUAUGAACGGUUUGAUAACAACCUAGCUAUCACUAGAUAUACUAAUCAUCUACCCUAAGCCUGACUAUUUUUCCAUCUAAUUUACAUCUUGAUAUUUAUUGCUUUUCUUUGCUUCUUAAUUUAUAAUCUACUGGUUUAGCUUAAUUCGAUAUCCAUAUAGUCUAUUGUGUGAUUCGAGAGCUUUGUGGAAUUCAACCCUGAAGUACUACAAUCGAUCUCUUAUUUGAGAGAGUGGUCUUAAGGCAAUUUGACCUACAUUAGAACUGUUCGGCUUUGGGUCUUUUUUUCUUCUAAAACUCUUAAAACCGUCUUGGCUCGCAAAAUACAUGUUCAUCUCCUUCGUGGCUCUAAAAUAGCACCAAAUUGUCUCUGAAACAUAAGAAAACAAUACCUAAAACGGGCUAAAAUGCUGUGUUAUCACCUGUUUGAAAACCCAAAACCAAAAACACAAAGGUACUUUAGCUACAGCAUCAAAGCUUUGAGAAGUAAGA
rnacentral:sRNA from 1 species